rnacentral:rRNA from 1 species
UAACACAUGCAAGUCAACUUGACUGAAGGAGCAAUCUGACAGUAGAGUGGCGCAAGGGUGCGUAACGCGUAAGUAACUUGCCCCAAGGUAAGGAAUAACGUCGAGAAAUCGGCGCUAAUACCUCAUAAUGCAGCGGAUCCGCAUGGAUAUGUUGUUAAAGGUUUACCGCCUUGGGAUAGGCUUGCGUCUGAUUAGUUAGUUGGUGUGGUAACGGCACACCAAGGCUACGAUCAGUAACUGGUCUGAGAGGAUGAUCAGUCACACUGGAACUGAGACACGGUCCAGACUCCUACGGGAGGCAGCAGUGAGGAAUAUUGGGCAAUGCUCGAAAGAGUGACCCAGCAACGCCGCGUGGAGGAUGAAGGUAUUCUAUAUCGUAAACUCCUGUGAGAGCAGACGAAAGACAGAUUAUUAAUCUGGAUGACUGUAUGCUCAGAGGAAGCCCCGGCUAACUACGUG